GAUGAACGCUGGCGGCGUGGAUAAGGCGUGCAAGUCGUACGGGUCACCUUCAGGUGACUAGUGGCGAACGGGUUAGUAACACGUGGGUAACGAACUCUAGAGAUGGGCAUAAUCCGUUGAAAGACGGACUAAUUCCCAAUAGUCCCCCCACCAUAAUUUGGUGAGGGGUAAAGGAGAAAUCCGCUCUGGAAUCGGCCCGCGGCCUAUCAGCUAGUUGGCAGGGUAAUGGCCUACCAAGGCGAUGACGGGUAGGGGAUGUGAGAGCAUGUUCCCCAACACUAGCACUGCGACACGGGCUAGACUCCUACGGGAGGCAGCAGUCGAGAAUAUUGGACAAUGGGGGAAACCCUGAUCCAGCGACGCCGCGUGCUCGAAGAAGCCCUUCGGGGUGUAAAGAGCUUUUCUGGGGGAAGAAGUUUCGAUUGACGGUACUCCAGGAAUAAGGGGGUGCUAAUCACGUGCCAGCAGCCGCGGUAAUACGUGACCCCCGAGCGUUAUCCGGAUUUAUUGGGCGUAAAGCGUCUGUAGGCGAUCUGGAAAGUCUUUGGUUAAAUACCAAGAGCUUAACUUUUGGGAUGCCAGAGAUACUUCCAAAAUAGAGGGCGUUAGAGGCUGAUGGAACGGUCGGUGUAGGGUGAAAUCCGUUGAUAUCGACCGGAACACCGAAAGCGAAGGCAUUCAGCUGGGGCGACCCUGACGCUGAGAGACGAAAGCGUGGGGAGCAAAAAGGAUUAGAUACCCUUGUAGUCCACGCUGUAAACGAUGGACACUGGCUAUUUGAAGUGUCGACCCUUCAAGUGGCGAAGCUAACGCGUUAAGUGUCCCGCCUGGGAAGUACGGCGGCAACGCUAAAACUCAAAGGAAUAGACGGGGCUUCACACAAGCGGUGGACCAUGUGGCUUAAUUCGACAAUAAGCGAAGAACCUUACCAGGGUUUGACAGGCUAGUGAAAAUCUUCCGAAAAGAAGAUCUACCCACAAGGACACUAGUCCAGGUGCUGCAUGGUUGUCGUCAGCAUGUGUUUUGAAAUGCACGCUUAAAUGCGGUAACAUGCGCAACCCUUACCCUAUGUUUUAUUUGUCAUAGGGAACUGCCUGGGAUGACCAGGAGGAAGGUGAGGAUGACGCCAAAUCAGCAUGGCCCUUUGAUACCCUGGGCUGCACACGUGGUACAAUGGGGCUGACAAUGGGUUGCCAAGGCGCAAGCCGGAGCUAAUCCCAUCAAACAGCCUCUUAGUUCGGAUUGAGGUCUGAAACCCGACCUCAUGAAGUUGGAAUCGCUAGUAAUCGCCAAUCAGCCACGUGGCGAUGAAUAUGUUCCUGAAGCUUGUACUCACCGCCCGUCACA
rnacentral:rRNA from 1 species